rnacentral:rRNA from 1 species
CCCGACUGCUAUCAGAAUAGGACUAAGCCAUGCGAGUCAACGUAGCAAUACGUGGCAUACGGCUCAGUAACACGUAGUCAACAUGCCCAGGGGACGUGGAUAACCUCGGGAAACUGAGGAUAAACCGCGAUAGGUCAUAAUAUCUGGAAUGAUUUCUGGCUGAAAUCUAUAUGGCCCCUGGAUUGGACUGCGGCCGAUCAGGCUGUUGGUGAGGUAAUGGCCCACCAAACCUAAAACCGGUACGGGCUCUGAGAGGAGAAGCCCGGAGAUGGGCACUGAGACAAGGGCCCAGGCCCUAUGGGGCGCAGCAGGCGCGAAAACUCUGCAAUAAGCGAAAGCUUGACAGGGUUAUUCUGAGUGAUUUCCGCUAAGGAAAUCUUUUGGCACCUCUAAAAAUGGUGCAGAAUAAGGGGUGGGCAAGCCUGGUGUCAGCCGCCGCGGUAAUACCAGCACCCCGAGUGGUCGGGACGAUUAUUGGGCCUAAAGCAUCCGUAGCCGGUUCUACAAGUCUUCCGUUAAAUCCACCUGCUUAACAGAUGGGCUGCGGAGGAUACUAUGGAGCUAGGAGGCGGGAGAGGCAAGCGGUACUUAGUGGGUAGGGGUAAAAUCCGUUGAUCCAUUGAAGACCACCAGUGGCGAAGGCGGCUUGCCAGAACGCACUCGACGGUGAGGGAUGAAAGCUGGGGGAGCAAACCGGAUUAGAUACCCGGGUAGUCCCAGCU